rnacentral:rRNA from 1 species
CAAUAGCGUAUAUUAAAGUUGUUGCGGUUAAAAAGCUCGUAGUUGGAUUUCUGCUGAGGACGACCGGUCCGCCCUCUGGGUGAGUAUCUGGCUUGGCCUUGGCAUCUUCUUGGAGAACGUAGCUGCACUUGACUGUGUGGUGCGGUAUCCAGGACUUUUACUUUGAGGAAAUUAGAGUGUUUCAAGCAGGCACACGCCUUGAAUACAUUAGCAUGGAAUAAUAACUGACGACGUCGGUCGUUUUUUGUUGGUUCGGAUGGCUGAUGUAAUGAUUGAUAGAGUUAGUCGGAGGUAUUAGUAUUUUAUCGUUAGAGGUGAAAUUCAUGGAUCGGUAAAAGACUAACAACUGCGAAAGCAUUUAUCUAGGAUUUGCUCUUUGAUCAAGAACGAAAGUUGGGGGAUCGAAGAUGAUUAGAUACCAU